AUUGAACGCUGGCGGCAGGCCUAACACAUGCAAGUAGGACGCAGUUGCGAACGGGUGAGUAACGCGUAGGUAACUACCUAUUAGAGGGGGAUAACUAUUGGAAACGAUAGCUAAUACCGCAUACUAGUAGAUGGACCUGCGUUGUAUUAGCUAGUAGGUAGGGUAAUGGCCUACCUAGGCAACGCUACAUAGCCGACCUUGGAGGGUGGUCGGCCACACUGGGACGGGGGAACGGCCCAGACUACUACGGUAGGCAGCAGUAGGGAAUCUUCGGCAAUGGGGGGAACCCUGAACGAGCAACGCCGCGUGAGUGAAGAAGGGUUUCGGAUCGUAAAGCUCUGUUGUUAAGGAAGCGGUACUUAACCAGAAAGGGACGGCUAACUACGUGCCAGCAGCCGCGGUAAUAC
rnacentral:rRNA from 1 species